GGUACCUUGACCGAGUGGCUAGGUAGCGGUCUGCAAAACCGCGUACAGCAGUUCGAAUCUGCUAGGUACCU
rnacentral:tRNA from 1 species